AUUGAACGCUGGCGGCAUGCCUUACACAUGCGAGUCGAACGGUAACAGGUCUUCGGAUGCUGACGAGUGGCGAACGGGUGAGUAAUACAUCGGAACGUGCCUAGUAGUGGGGGAUAACUACUCGAAAGAGUGGCUAAUACCGCAUGAAAUCUACGGAUGAAAGCAGGGGAUCGCAAGACCUUGUGCUAAUAGAGCGGCCGAUGGCAGAUUAGGUAGUUGGUGGGAUAAAAGCUUACCAAGCCGACGAUCUGUAGCUGGUCUGAGAGGACGAUCAGCCACACUGGGACUGAGACACGGCCCAGACUCCUACGGGAGGCAGCAGUGGGGAAUUUUGGACAAUGGGCGCAAGCCUGAUCCAGCCAUGCCGCGUGCAGGAUGAAGGCCUUCGGGUUGUAAACUGCUUUUGUACGGAACGAAAAGGUUUGGCCUAAUACGCUGAACUCAUGACGGUACCGUAAGAAUAAGCACCGGCUAACUACGUGCCAGCCGCCGCGGUAAGAC
rnacentral:rRNA from 1 species